CAGAAAGCCAAUCACUGAGACAGUGAGUAUUGCCAGGCAAGAAGGCUUUAAUCAGGUGCUGCGGCCCAGGAGUUGGGAAAUCAGUCUCAAAUCAACUGCCUGAGUGACUAAAAUUAAGGCUUUAUAUAGCAGAGAAGAAAUGUAACCAUGCAUGGAAGAACAAGAGUUAGGGAGGAGCAAAGAAGAGGAGUCAGUCAACAGGAAGCAGGUAGUGGGUUAGGCAAUCAUGACAAAAGAGUGGUUUCACCUCCCAUUGCCCAGAUGCUGUGAUUUGUGGCUGUGAGUGUUGGCUGUUGGUUGACAGAGGAGCUGCAUCCUCCUGGAGGAAACUGAACUCAGCUGAUGAAAGCCACCUGGUCCUGGAGGUGAAGCAUCUUCCAAAUGACAGCCUGCAGUCAAUGACUGAUGAAUAUGACUUCAUUGCCUCAUGACAGGACCUACUCUGGGGUAUAGAUCAUGCUUCUAAGCUCCUCCUGGGGUCCUGCUGAGGCUCAAUGCCAGCUGAAACCAUACCCUUGCUCACAUACUUUCCCUUCUCUUUCCUUCUUCCCUUGCUUCCUUAGAGAUUCCUCCUGCAAUGGCUUCCUCAAAAAAGCAUUUUCAUAAGCAACCUCAUGUCAGCCUCUGCUUCCACAGAAGCCAAUCUGAGUUAAGCAGCUGUUUAACUUAGCAUGUCCAACAUAAAAUUCUUGUUUUCUUCUCAUCCCCUGCCCCUGAACGUUCUCCUUUGCCUGUCUUUCUUAUCUCAUUGAAAGUAACAACACAAGUAUCAAGUGAAAAUAAAAGAAUCUUCUCUGAUUUCUUUCUUUCUAAUGUAUUAUUAAAUUCUACUGAUAUUACCAAUAUCUAUUCAAAUACCAACCUAGUCUAAGAUACUAUCAUCUGUCUUCUAGACUUCAACUGGGUUCCUAACACUGAUGGUAUUACACAAUUUUUGCAAUGAAGUCUUACCCACCUAUAAUCCAUUUUCCAUAAAGCAGCAUUAUCAUUUUCUAAGUCACACACUGUAGUUUUAAUACAAUCCCAAACUAACAAGCUUGAAGAAAUAAAAUUAUUGUUAAAAUUGUAAAAAUUACGGAGUCUUAUAUUUAACUAAUCAUGGUACCUUUCCUCAAUAUCAAUUAUACCAAACACUUCCAAUGCAUAAAUUCACUAAAUUACUUGUCUCUGAAUAGUAAUAAUUAUUGUAAAACUCAAUUAAAAUGGUGUUUCUAUCUAAGUCAUUUCCAAAUGACGAGUUGAUGGGUGCAGCAAACCAACAUGGAACAUGUAUACCUAUGUAACAAACCUGCACGUUGUGCACAUGUACACCAGAACUUAAAGUAUAAUAAUAAAAAAUAAAGUAUUACAGAACAUGGUCAAUUAUAUUAAAAAGUAGAUUAAUUAAUGUCCAUAUAUACAUUUUUUGGUGGAA
rnacentral:lncRNA from 1 species